rnacentral:pre_miRNA from 1 species
AAAAUGGUGAGAGGGCUGAGGGAGUUCCCGACGGGGCUGUGGUCCGCGACUACUGAGCGUCCCACCCACA